GACGAACGCUGGCGGCGUGCUUAACACAUGCAAGUCGAACGGAAAGGCCCUGCUUUUGUGGGGUGCUCGAGUGGCGAACGGGUGAGUAACCCGUGAGUAACCUGCCCUUGACUUUGGGAUAACUUCAGGAAACUGGGGCUAAUACCGGAUCGGAGCUCCUGCUGCAUUGUGGGGGUUGGAACGUUUCGGCGGUUGGGGCUGGACUCGCGGCUUAUCAGCUUGUUGGUGGGGUAGUGGCUUACCAAGGGUUUGACGGGUAGCCGACCUGAGAGGGUGACCGGCCACAUUGGGACUGAGAUACGGCCCAGACUCCUACGGGAGGCAGCAGUGGGGAAUAUUGCACAAUGGGCGGAAGCCUGAGGCAGCAACGCCGCGUGCGUGAUGACGGCCUUCGGGUGGUAAACCGCUUUCGCCGGUGACGAAGCGUGAGUGACGGUAAUGGGUAAAGAAGCACCGGCUAACUACGUG
rnacentral:rRNA from 1 species